UGGGGAAUCUUGCGCAAUGGGCGAAAGCCUGACGCAGCCAUGCCGCGUGAGUGAUGAAGGCCUUAGGGUUGUAAAACUCUUUCACCGGGGACGAUAAUGACGGUACCCGGAGAAGAAGCCCCGGCUAACUUCGUGCCAGCAGCCGCGGUAAUACGAAGGGGGCUAGCGUUGCUCGGAAUUACUGGGCGUAAAGGGCGCGUAGGCGGAUCAGCAAGUUGGGGGUGAAAGCCCGGGGCUCAACCUCGGAAUUGCCUUCAAAACUGCUGAUCUAGAGUACGGGAGAGGUGUGUGGAACUCCGAGUGUAGAGGUGAAAUUCGUAGAUAUUCGGAAGAACACCAGUGGCGAAGGCGACACACUGGCCCGUUACUGACGCUGAGGCGCGAAAGCGUGGGGAGCAAACAGGAUUAGAUACCCUGGUAGUCCACGCUGUAAACGAUGAUUGCUAGUUGUCGGCAGGCAUGCCUGUCGGUGACGCAGCUAACGCAUUAAGCAAUCCGCCUGGGGAGUACGGUCGCAAGAUUAAAAACUCAAAUGAAUUGACGGGGUCAUAGCUGUUUCCU
rnacentral:rRNA from 1 species